AGCCCCGCAAGAAACCUGAACGGCGCAUGCGCAAGUCCGGCCACCACGGGAGCAGAGUUUGAAGUGGGCAUGCAAAAUAGGUUGGGAAUGCACGGUGAGGGGGCAUGGACAGCAUCGCGGAGAGCCAGCCCUGCAGAGUCUGCGAGCGGACAGCCACUAUGGACACCUUACCGCGCAGUGUCCAUCUCCAUUGGCCGUGGCAGCGGCAGCAGCUUCUGAUCCCUCCGCAUCUCCCCCCUAGCAUGCAGACCUGCGGGCAGUGAGACAUCAUCUAGGAGGGGUAAAGAAGUCAUGAGAAUAUGGAGCAAUAUUCGAGACUCCUUUGCAAAGUCUUUCAAAAAAAUAGAAGAAAGCAAGAGAUCUGGAGCUGGGGCAGUGAAGCAUAGGAAAUAUGUGUUUCAUGACCAGAUGCAAUUCUUAAAAAAAUUGUAUGUGUCUCGGGAUACUGAAGAAAAUUUCACUCUGGAGGAUGUCAUACCAGAUAACCCAGUUGAAGAUGCUGUUAGGGAAAACUGAAAAUGAGCCCAAAAAAACAACAGAGACUCUACCAACACCAGCAGCCAGUGCCACACAUGGUGGUUUUCGACCACAAACACGCCGCCGUAAGCCAGAUGAAGUAGAAUUAAAACUGCUAAAGGCUCUGGAACCUGAAAAGCCAAAUCGUCAUAUAUCUUUCUUUCAGGGGAUCAUGCCUGCUUUAGAGAAAUUAGACGAAGAUGAAAUAUUACAGUUCCAAAUGGGGGUUCUUCAACUGAUUUCUAAUAUAAAUCAGUAGAAGCGGAGAUCCUUGCAGCCUUCGCCCCUGCCUUAUCAGUCUAUGCCAAUGCACCAAACACUAUUGCAAGCAAUGCCUCUACAACAACCUUAUGGCCAAAAUCCUAUGCAACAAGCCCAACCUCCGCUAACAUCUCAAUUGUACCCACAUUUUGGAAACAUGCCUCCAAUAAAUAGCCCUCAAAGUUGUCCCUCUCAAACUCCAUCCCCUGCACCGUCUUCUGGUUCAUACAGUUCCGUGGACUUUUCAUCACUGCACCCAUUAUAAAUACCAAUCUAGCCCUGAUUCAACCAAAUUUGUUACAAAUCACACACAUGGUGCAUAACACAUGCAAUUUAAUUUCCACCGUUGGCUGUUUGUUACAUUUGUUACCUAAUGUUUUGGAUAUAAGUUAAUUGCAAAUAUUGCUCAUACUUUAAAUAUGUCCAUUUUCAGUGUGAAAUAAAAACAUUGUACUUUCAAA